UACGAAGGGGGCUAGCGUUGCUCGGAAUCACUGGGCGUAAAGGGUGCGUAGGCGGGUUUUUAAGUCAGGGGUGAAAUCCUGGAGCUCAACUCCAGAACUGCCUUUGAUACUGAGGAUCUUGAGUUCGGGAGAGGUGAGUGGAACUGCGAGUGUAGAGGUGAAAUUCGUAGAUAUUCGCAAGAACACCAGUGGCGAAGGCGGCUCACUGGCCCGAUACUGACGCUGAGGCACGAAAGCGUGGGGAGCAAACAGG
rnacentral:rRNA from 1 species